AGUGCGGACGGGUGAGGUAACGCGGUGGGCAACCCUGGCCUGUACAGGGGGAUAACACUUAGAAAUAGGUGCUAAUACCGCUAUAACGGGAGAAGCCGCAUGGCUUUUUCCUGAAAACUCCGGUGGUACAGGAUGGGCCCGCGUCUGAUUAGCCAGUUGGCAGGGUAACGGCCUACCAAAGCGACGAUCAGUAGCCGGCCUGAGAGGGCGGACGGCCACACUGGGACUGAGACACGGCCCAGACUCCUACGGAAGGCAGCAG
rnacentral:rRNA from 1 species